AUUGAACGCUGGCGGAAUGCUUUACACAUGCAAGUCGAGCGGCAGCGCGGGGGGCAACCCUGGCGGCGAGCGGCGAACGGGUGAGUAACAUAUCGGAACGUACCCAGUCGUGGGGGAUAACUAUCCGAAAGGAGUAGCUAAUACCGCAUACGUCCUGAGGGAGAAAGCGGGGGAUCGCAAAGACCGUCGCGCGAUUGGAGCGGCCGAUAUCGGAUUAGCUAGUUGGUGGGGUAAAGGCUCACCAAGGCGACGAUCCGUAGCGGGUCUGAGAGGACGACCCGCCACACUGGAACUGAGACACGGUCCAGACUCCUACGGGAGGCAGCAGUGGGGAAUUUUGGACAAUGGGGGCAACCCGUGAUCCAGCCAUUCCGCGUGAGUGAAGAAGGCCUCGG
rnacentral:rRNA from 1 species